GGAGGUUGGCUUAGAAGCAGCCAUCCUUUAAAGAUAGCGUAACAGCUCACUAGUCUAUAUUUAAGCUUUUCUGCGCCGACAAUGUAACGGGGCUAAAGUUAUGUGCCGAAGACAUGGGUUUAUAAGAUGUAUUUAUAUCUUAUAAGCGGUAGCAGAGCGUUCCAAUACCACUGAAGAUAAUUCGUGAGAGUUGUUGGAGGUUUUGGAAGUGAGAAUGCUGACAUGAGUAGCAGUAAAGAAUGUGAGAAUCAUUCUCGUCGUAAAUCUAAGGUUUCCUACGUAAAGAUGAUCUGCGUAGGGUUAGUCGGCCCCUAAGGUGAGGCUGAAAAGCGUAAUUGAUGGGAUAUUAGGUUAAUAUUCCUAAACCAGUGGAAAGUGACAAAUUUUGUAAAUAGUAAUUUCUUAUUGGAUUGAAAUUGCUGUGAAAAAGUUUCAGGAAAUAGCUUCCAUAUUAGACCGUACCGUAAACCGACACAGGUAGAUGAGUAGAGUAUACUAAGACGUAUGAGAUAAUGAUACUAAAGGAACUCGGCAAAUUGUGCUCAUAACUUUGGAAUAAGAGUAGUCUAUAUUUGGGCAACCAUUUAUAGAUGGCACAGAAGAGGGGGUGGCGACUGUUUAUCAAAAACACAGGACUCUGCUAACACGCAAGUGGAUGUAUAGGGUCUGACACCUGCCCAGUGCUGGAAGGUUAACAGGAGGGGUGCAAGCUCUAAAUCGAAGCCCCAGUGAACGGCGGCCGUAACUAUAACGGUCCUAAGGUAACGAAAUUCCUUGUCGGGUGAGUUCCGACCUGCAUGAAUGGUGUAACGACUUCCCCGCUGUCUCUAGUAUCAACUCAGCGAAAUUGAAUUCUCCGUUAAGAUGCGGAGUACUUGCGGCUGGACGAGCAGACCCUAUGCACCUUUACUAUAGCUUUAUAUUGGUGUUAGAAGUAUAUUGUGCAGGAUAGGUGGGAAGCUUUGAAGUUAGGGCGCUAGCCUUAAUGGAGCUAACCUUGAGAUACCACCCUUUAUACUUUUGAUACCUAACCAUAAUCCAUUAUCUGGAUUUGGGACACUGUAUGUGCAUAGAUUAGAAAAAACAAUUGGGUUAUUAGUACUAGUUAGCUGAACAUGUUACCAUGCUUACACAUCUAGCCUAUCAAUGUAAUAGUCUAUUACAACCCUAUAGGGAAAUUUAGUUUUGGGAUGAGUUUCCCACUUAGAUGCUUUCAGUGGUUAUCUCGUCCAUACGUAGCUAUCCAGCCAUGCCACUGGCGUGACAACUGGUGCACCAGAGGUAUGUCCAGCUCGGUCCUCUCGUACUUGAGCCAGGUUCCCUCAAAUUUCCAACACUUGCGGAGGAUAGAAACCGAACUGUCUCACGACGUUCUGAACCCAACUCACGUACCACUUUAAUCGGCGAACAGCCGAACCCUUGGGACCUUCUUCAGCCCCAGGAUGUGAUGAGUCGACAGCGAGGUGCC
rnacentral:rRNA from 1 species